rnacentral:rRNA from 1 species
GACGAACGCUGGCGGCGUGCCUAAUACAUGCAAGUAGAACGCUGAAGGAGGAGCUUGCUUCUCUGGAUGAGUUGCGAACGGGUGAGUAACGCGUAGGUAACCUGCCUGGUAGCGGGGGAUAACUAUUGGAAACGAUAGCUAAUACCGCAUAAGAGUAGAUGUUGCAUGACAUUUGCUUAAAAGGUGCAAUUGCACCACUACCAGAUGGACCUGCGUUGUAUUAGCUAGUUGGUGAGGUAACGGCUCACCAAGGCGACGAUACAUAGCCGACCUGAGAGGGUGAUCGGCCACACUGGGACUGAGACACGGCCCAGACUCCUACGGGAGGCAGCAGUAGGGAAUCUUCGGCAAUGGACGGAAGUCUGACCGAGCAACGCCGCGUGAGUGAAGAAGGUUUUCGGAUCGUAAAGCUCUGUUGUAAGAGAAGAACGAGUGUGAGAGUGGAAAGUUCAC